rnacentral:misc_RNA from 1 species
UUUCCGUAGGUGAACCUGCGGAAGGAUCAUUAUCGAGUUUGGCAUCCCCAAGAUGCCAUCUCCCACCAUUUGUCUACCCUUCAAACGUUGCUUUGGCGAGUCGAUCCAAUCCUUUGGCCUCGGCUGAAGAGUGCUCGCCAGAGAAUCUUUAAACUCGUUUCAACGAUGAAGUCUGAGUCAAACAAAAUAAAAUCAAAACUUUCAACAACGGAUCUCUUGGUUCUGGCAUCGAUGAAGAACGCAGC